CCCCCUCGCUGCAGGUGACAGGACUCCCCUGUCCUGUCGCCGAGGUGAUUCCCCUCUUGGCAGACACCCACUCUCUUCCCUGCUCUGGGAAUUACGUGUGAAGGCAGCCGUCUCUCCCUCUCGACACAGAAAAACACUGGAAGACAGAAAAAAGUUGCUGAAGUAAACAAACACAGAGGACUCCUCUGAGAGGAAGCAGCUUCUGGAAGAAGGAAUGGAAAGGGGUUGCUCAGUGCAGCAGAGAGCACAAGAGGUUCCAGGGAUGGAGUAAACAGUGAUGCAGGCUGGUCAGACAGGGACUUGAGACAAAAGUCCC